ensembl:snoRNA small nucleolar RNA SNORD49
CGGGAUGAUGAUGCCGUGAUAGGAAGUGCCGUCAGAUGCGAGAACUGACGAGAGAUUCCCACCGGCUGACC